CCAGCAGCCGCGGUAAUACGUAGGGUGCAAGCGUUAUCCGGAAUUAUUAGGCGUAAAGAGCUCGUAGGCGGUCUGUCGCGUCUGCUGUGAAAUCCCGAGGCUCAACCUCGGGCUUGCAGUGGGUACGGGCAGACUAGAGUGCGGUAGGGGAGAUUGGAAUUCCUGGUGUAGCGGUGGAAUGCGCAGAUAUCAGGAGGAACACCGAUGGCGAAGGCAGAUCUCUGGGCCGUAACUGACGCUGAGGAGCGAAAGGGUGGGGAGCAAACAGGCUUAGAUACCCUGGUAGUCCACCCCGUAAACGUUGGGAACUAGUUGUGGGGUCCUUUCCACGGAUUCCGUGACGCAGCUAACGCAUUAAGUUCCCCGCCUGGGGAGUACGGCCGCAAGGCUAAAACUCAAAGGAAUUGACGGGGACCCGCACAAGCGGCGGAGCAUGCGGAUUAAUUCGAUGCAACGCGAAGAACCUUACCAAGGCUUGACAUACACGAGAACGGGCCAGAAAUGGUCAACUCUUUGGACACUCGUGAACAGGUGGUGCAUGGUUGUCGUCAGCUCGUGUCGUGAGAUGUUGGGUUAAGUCCCGCAACGAGCGCAACCCUCGUUCUAUGUUGCCAGCACGUAAUGGUGGGAACUCAUGGGAUACUGCCGGGGUCAACUCGGAGGAAGGUGGGGAUGACGUCAAAUCAUCAUGCCCCUUAUGUCUUGGGCUUCACGCAUGCUACAAUGGCCGGUACAAUGGGCUGCGAUACCGUAAGGUGGAGCGAAUCCCAAAAAGCCGGUCCCAGUUCGGAUUGAGGUCUGCAACUCGACCUCAUGAAGUCGGAGUCGCUAGUAAUCGCAGAUCAGCAACGCUGCGGUGAAUACGUUCCCGGGUCUUGUACACACCGCCCGUCAAGUCAUGAAAGUCGGUAACACCUGAAGCCGGUGGCCUAACCCCUUGUGGGAGGGAGCUGUCGA
rnacentral:rRNA from 1 species